rnacentral:rRNA from 1 species
UACGGAGGGUGCAAGCGUUGUUCGGAAUCACUGGGCGUAAAGGGCGUGUAGGCGGGCUUUCAAGUCGGUUGUGAAAUCCCUCAGCUCAACUGAGGAACUGCAUCCGAUACUGUUUGUCUUGAGGACGAGAGGGGAGAGUGGAAUUCCUGGUGUAGCGGUGAAAUGCGUAGAUAUCAGGAGGAACACCGGUGGCGAAGGCGGCUACCUGGACAGAAACUGACGCUGAGGCGCGAAAGCUAGGGGAGCAAACAGG